CGUUACGUAAAGGAGUUGAAUUACGUUGAACACGGGCGAUACGUGGAGUCUGACAGACGUAUUUUAUAAUAAAGAGAAGUAACCUGGUGGGUGCCAAAUAGUAUUAUAAAUGCCGACAGUACCGUGAUGCAUUGGAAUGGCUAAAAGAGAAAUGGGUGUGGGAGUUUAAUUAAACGUUAGAUCCGUAUAAUUAUACAAUCGUUAUUUCGACAAAUUGUACCCGGGAACCGUGGACUAUCGCGUACCUAGAUCUACCCUAUCUCACGAAGGACAAUUACGAAUUUCGUGUAAGAGCGAGAUGAAUUAAGAGAAGGGAAAUAGAGCAUGCCGACAAGGGAGCUCGAGAGGAAGACAAGGAGCCAUGCUGAAAAACGUCUUGAGCACUGGAAGUAUGGCUACUCGAACUAUCACGCCAUAGAAACCUGAGACAAAAGGGAAGUGGAACUGUAAAGGAGCAUUCGUCCAGUGUGUGCCCUUAAAAGAACUCUUAAUGAACAAGGGUGAAGUACUCUACCACCAGGUAGACUAUAAACUCCCUAUGUCUUUACCAAGCAACACGUGGACAGUACCAAGCACUUAGUACGUACGUAUACACUGCAUCCCCUACCUUCUCCAGCACAGGACACGUAGUCACCUCUCGUCUACAGGGGGUAGAUUCACCGGCAUAUGGCAUCCAGAAUAAAUUUCAUCACCAGAAGUUCUAGAAUGAAAAAAAAAAGAAUACGAGAAAACCAUACACAAUCCACACGAGUUCCAGUUUCAUCCAAAAGGAUCCUGAAUAGCCAAGGCAGAUGCUUCAAGUAUUUUUGGUAUGUCUACGCCCGUGCACGGCAGCCUCGCUCGUCGUCGGCGCUUAUAAUAAGAGUAAUAAACGAAUUAAAGAGGGUGCCCGCCACGCCACUUUACGGCCCCGAGACUCUUCACUUUGGUUAGGGUGGUCCUUUAACUGGUUCAAUUAGACUAUCCAUCCCUGCCAGGGUUAAACUCCUGGUUAUACACGUUCUCUGCACACCAGAAUAUAUUACAUACGAUCACGCAGUUCUUACACGUCUUCAUCUACGUACGAUACAUAUAUACAUAAUCUACGGAUGUCUCAUUGUAUGAAAUACAUAAAUUUAUAAAAUAUAUAUCUUAAUUACAUAGCACUACGUAUAUACGAAUUCUACUUGGCAACGACAAGAGCUUGCCACUAGAUAAACAUCUUCCCGAGGUCGGCACUUCGCUCUCAUCUCUCCCUUCCUGAUGUGGCUUAACUUCCUACGUGGCCGUUAGUUCCAACCCGGACAGGGUAUUCCUACACCCAGAGUAUGUACAUACACGCGAGGAGAGUGCCGCAGUGCGUACGUAACGCGUAACUACUGUCCCCGGAGCUUUGUGGCUUUGGAGCUUUGUGCAUUCUCCGAAACAAUAGGUCUACGAAGAGGUUAGGAAGGGUGUGUUUGUGACACCCGUUAGAUAAACAGAGCUGGAUAUCGCACUGGGGAUAUCAUCCCUUAUGAAAUCCGCGUUCCUCGAUGAUCCUACUAGCCCGAAUCGACCUGUAACAAUAGAAUACUGUUAAUUACCAAAAUUAUGUAAAAAUAAUAAUAAAAAUACCAAUUAUAUAAAUAUAAUAAUAAUUUAACGCCAGAAGCAUGCGUCAAAAGAUAUUUAACAUUUACAAAACACCCUCAGGACAACCUUAACUCCUACAAAAUCUUCCCACACCAAUCAAAGAGCACCCUUCGUAACAUACGUUUCCUAACCCCCACGCCGCACCCACGGGACUACUCUUCCAUCCCCCCGGAGAGUUAUCUACCCUUAGCUGGUACAACGAACGCUCCUAGAAUCUCCCCUUAAUACCGUUCAUACGUAGGCACAGCUAU